GACGAACGCUGGCGGCGUGCCUAAUACAUGCAAGUAGAACGCUGAAGGAGGAGCUUGCUUCUCUGGAUGAGUUGCGAACGGGUGAGUAACGCGUAGGUAACCUGCCUGGUAGCGGGGGAUAACUAUUGGAAACGAUAGCUAAUACCGCAUAAUAGUAGAUGUUGCAUGACAUUUGCUUAAAAGGUGCAAUUGCAUCACUACCAGAUGGACCUGCGUUGUAUUAGCUAGUUGGUGGGGUAACGGCUCACCAAGGCGACGAUACAUAGCCGACCUGAGAGGGUGAUCGGCCACACUGGGACUGAGACACGGCCCAGACUCCUACGGGAGGCAGCAGUAGGGAAUCUUCGGCAAUGGACUGAAGUCUGACCGAGCAACGCCGCGUGAGUGAAGAAGGUUUUCGGAUCGUAAAGCUCUGUUGUAAGAGAAGAACGAGUGUGAGAGUGGAAAGUUCACACUGUGACGGUAUCUUACCAGAAAGGGACGGCUAACUACGUG
rnacentral:rRNA from 1 species